UCUCGAUAUCGUAAAAGUUAACUCAAAUUUGUAUGGAGUUGGAACAUUUGCUUACGUUUGCCGUUAGGGGCAUUGUUCCAAGUGCAUACAAGCUUGAGUUAACUUUUACUCUAUGGA
rnacentral:pre_miRNA from 9 species